AGGGGACACAACAGGAUACGUCCUGGUACCACAGGCUUCCUGUUCACAAGGGCAAACGACAGUUCUGUUUUGAGAAACACCACAGAGGGCUUGAUGAGAUGCUGGCCGAAUCUGAAGGACAUUUCCUCACAGUUAAGGUGUGUACUUGUUAAUAUAUCUGGUGACUAUCUUCUGUGGGAAAAGGCU